rnacentral:rRNA from 1 species
AUGGGUUCAGCAGACUCAAGUUUCAAAGAAGUGGAAUGGAGUGUCUUAUACACUGCCCAACUAAUUCAAAAGGCAAAGAAGUUUCAUGAUGGCGUUAUAAGGCUUGUCCAAGCUGGUCCAAAUGUAAAGCAGAUUCUUUUACUGGAUGAAGAAGGUGGAGUGCUUGGCACCAGAUAUUUCAAUCCAGGUGAAUCUAUUGAAUGUGGAAAGAGAUGUCAGUUUCCUAAUCAUAUUAUCGAAGUCACUGAGCUCAGAAAUAAAAUGAAAGAUGUAGAACACACACAUGCUGCUGGGGAGGCUUCAAGUCACACAGUGCCUAAGAAUGGAGAGAAUAUGCGUGAAAAGGAUGACAAAAGUAAAUCUCCAAAGUUUGUUAGUCCAUUCAAGCUCCAUGAUCAUCGGAAGACUAAAACAAGAAGCACUACCGACUCUAACAAGCCACAGGUCGGAAAAUCAGCAUGUAGUAACGUGGGCGAUCCACUUAACUAUCAUGUAUUUACGGAUCUUCAGAGGGGUAAACCAGAUUGCACGGUUGGUUACAGAAGAACAGACCUGGGGUCAACAUCUAGCGACAUCGACAAUCAACAUAAAUUCAAUGAUUUUGCAGAUAACCAGAGGGGCACAUCAGAACUAUCUACCAGCAAAUCAACAUUUAAUGACCUGGGAAAAUCAACAUUUGGUGGAAUGGAUGAUCCACAUAAAUUUGAUGAUUUUGCAGGCACCCAGAGGGGUACAUCAGGAUUUUCUACCAGUUAUAACCGGCCAGAAGUUGGCAAAUCAACAUUUAAUGACCUGGGAAAAUCAACAUUUGGUGGCAUGGAUGAUCCGCAUAAAUUUGAUGAUUUUGCAGAUAUCCAGAGGGGUAAAUCAGGAUUUCCUACCAGCUAUAACCGGCCAGAAGUUGACAAAUCAAUUCUUAAUAGAAUGGAUGAUCCACUAAAAUUUUGUGGUCUUCGGGAUGGCAAAUCAGUGUGUCCCACUAGUUUUGUCAGGAGAGAGGUUGGAAAAUCAAAAUUUGGCAACGCUGAUGAUUCUUUACGGACUGCUUCCCAAAUACUAUCUAUCAUGAAGCCCCCAGCUGGAUUGUCUCACUUUGCUACCCAGCUUCGUACAUCUGUGCAAUCUUGCUUGAAGCUGGAUACUGCACAUGCAAAGAACUCAGCAAUCACUCAUAAUAGGAAUGAAUUAUCAGGGAAUGCUUAUCCAACUUACAAUCAUCAGGCCAUCAUGAAACCACCAGCUUUUGAUGCUUCGGACUUGGAAUUGAUAGAUCUCCCAGGAUCUGAGAUGUGCAAUGCAAACGAGCAGAAACUAGAAUCAUCAGGCAAUCUUAACACUGUAAACUGUAAUGGUACAGGUUCUGCGCCAAUUCCGAAUGACACUAGCAUGCCAAACGUGCGAGAAGACAAAAGUGGAAGUGCAGAUCAGCUCGGUGCAAAAAACACAGCAGAGGACCCUAAAUAUGAUGGCCCUUCUCGUACGUGUAGAGAUCCCACGAUCCAGGAUUUGAUAGAUGACUGCCCUUCUUUUGAUCUUGGCUUCUAA